UUCUUUUUUCUAAUCCACCGUCGGGAGGAGCAGCAGCAAGCUUCGCCCGUCUUCUUCCCUUUUGGGAUUUUUUUGAAUUAAUUAAGAAUUUUAUUAAUUAGAAGUUUAAAAUUAUAUGAUGUGGAGCCUAUAUUGAAGUCAAGUGGGAGGUACGUCAGGGGUGUUAAGUUUGACUGUUAAGUUGAUGGUCAAAUUUCAAAUAUGUGCCACAAUAAGUAUUUCUAAUAGGUUAUGCCAUUCUGGGUUUAGACCCAAUAGGUUGGGCCUCCUUAGAUCAUUAUUCAUUUUAUUAACUACAUAUAUGUUAUAAAAAUGUAUAAGUGACAAGUGGGUCUCAAAUGAUUAAAAAAUAUAAAUGAAAAAAUGGGCCACAAGUGAGAUUAUCACUUUGACUUGGAACGAGUACAAAUUUGCACUUAAAAUGAUCCUUUCCCAUCAAUAAUAUUCUCAUUUAAAUUUAAAAAUUGCCACAUAGGCUCCAUGUUACUUAACAAGUAGGGAAAAUCUCAGUGAUAAGAUGCUAUAAUAACAAAUAAUCUUGAGGCCAAAUCCAAUAACUGAGCAUGCCUUCUACAUGUCGGACUCCACCAUAUAAACACGGCCCACGUUAUAAUUGAUUCAUUAAAAAAAAGAAACAAUUUGAUGAAUUGAUGAAAGAAGCGAAAGGCAAAAGAUGGAAAUUGUCGUUUCUCUUCCUAAAACUAGGGUUUUGUUUCUCUCACUAAAAUUAGGGUAUCUCUUCGUCAUGAAGACUUCCUACACCCCCAUCGCCAUCAUGCUCAAGCACAAACCUACUCCUAUCAUCAACAAACCCAUCCCACCUACCGAUGUUGUCAUCAAAACAAGACCGACCCUUACUGCACCCAUGGCCUCCCUAUCGUUGAAGGAGAGUCAUGGCUCGGAGGACCUGACCGGAAUGACAUGGCUGACGAUUGGAUACCAGAGCUGCAGCAAUCUGGAAAGCCCCACAAAGAUUCUCCGCCGACAAAGACCAGCAGGUCAACACUAAGGAGAGGCGGUGUUCCUCCGAUCUUCGAGCUACAGGGGAGCGAGACGACUCUACCCCAUACACCAUAGUGACAUCGCCGGUGUGGACAUCCGAUCAUUCCAUUCAAAGCUCAUGAAGAUCGGCUACACUUGUGUUUGGCUUUCUUUAUUUUUGUUUAGUACUCUCUUUUUAGACAUUUGGUUGAUUUUCAGUCGUACGUUGCACUUCAUUUGUUUCCUUCCUUGAGUCGGGGUAUAGUUUUGUUAAUUUUUUUGUUUAUUUCGUUGCAUCUAAAACCGUUGAUGGUCGAAGAGAUUAAAACUGUAAAUAAAAUAUUCAAUUACCUACUUUCCCCUUACAUCUUUUCUAAAAAACAACUCUCAAUUGCAUUUCUCAUGGUCAAUGUUAUAUCACGCCUCCCUCUAUAAAGAAAUUAUAUUUUGUAAAAAAAAAAAGCGAAAGGCAAAAGAUAUCGCGAGACCUAGUUCUAUAUAAACCCAUUCCAUUCGCAGGUUACGAGCGGCCGUCAUCGCUGUCACAGGGCCAGAUAUGGGAAGCGCUAAAGCUGGCAAACCCUCAAAGAAGUCUCUCAGAAACCCUAAUCCGCUUCGCAUUACCCAUAGGAAGAUUACGAAGCACAAACGGCAAGACAUUGCUGUUGAUACAGUUCCCACCGCCCUGAAGUAGAAACACAACCUCAUAUCGGAGAAGAGGAGCCCCUUCCUUCAGCUUCCCAGCAACUCAGCUUUUUCCUCAGCAAGUUCCAGUCAGCUAAUGGUCUUCAAGGUUAGUCUCUACCGCUGGAGCUCCACAAUAUUGUAUCCCAUGACAUCUCUAUUUGGUUGCUGGACAGAGGGAUUAUUAACAAUUUGUGUAUUGUAUUUGCAGAAACAUCCUUUAUUCAGUUAUUUUGAGAGCUGCCUCAGGAUGUUGAGGGCCUAGGCCAGCAUUUGAAGACUGCUUUCGGAAAGUCAUGGAAAGAAGAACGCUGUGAUCGAAAGCUCGUGGAUAGGUAAACUGAACCAGAGAGUCCUGCUGCUCUUUUCAUUUCUACAUCUGCAUUGAGAGCAAUAGAACUUUUAAGGUAUAGAUUCUCUCAGUUCUUGUUAAUGAUCUUUGUUUUGCUCGAUUUAAUCAGGGUUUGGGCUUGAUUCAAUCUUCUUCUUUUAGGGGUGUGCGUUCACUGAGCGUUCACUGACGAAAGAAUGCCAUGCUGCAAAGCUCUUCUCUAAGCACAUGAAGGUUGAAGAACAUGUGAUAUCCUUUCCCUUUUGUCACUUGUUGUUCCUAUUACAUCGUUAAACAAAAUACUAUCUCUUUAUGUUUCGAGGUGUUGUCAUUUGUUUUGGAUAUCAUUCAGUUCCUUUUAUUAUUACUGCUGCUCGAGUUACGAACAUCUGAGGAAAUAGCAAUGCUUAGGAUGUUAUUGUCCACUUCACUGUCUCGAGACACCGACAUUGUCUUUAGUUAUUAUUUAUGGGUCCAACAAGUUAUGACUUGAACCAUGGUCACAUGGAACAAAAUUAAUUUAUAAAUUCGGACUUCUGUUUCAUCAGUGACAUUUUCACUCUUCGUCAUCAUAUACAUUUGGUGUUUGUUUGUUUUUGGUAAAAGGAUUUGAUAUUACCAGUUAUAAAGAUCAAAGGGCAGUAGCAGUGCAGGAUAAGCUUUUUUCACAUCAGUCUGCUUCUAGUUCAGUAUCUUAGUUUCAAUGAUUUAUGGCUGGAAGCAUGGAGCAGUAUGGAAUUUUUGCAAACAAUUGUUGGAUUAGGAAUUUCAUACUUCUUUUCACUGCAUUUUGAUGUUGGGAUAUGAUGAGUUACACGGAUCAAAUGCUCUAGCAGUGCUGAAUAUGUUUUUUGCACGUCAGUCUGAUCCCAACUUACCGUAUUUUUACUGCCCCUACCUUUAAAUGCAUGUCCGAGUUCUAACAAUAGAUGACUUGAGACAUGGAGCCUAUGAAUGGGGGUUCUCUGUUUGAUUUUAUGACAUUUUACAAUAAUUGUCACAAAUUUUUUUGACAUUGGAUAUGAUGAUGAGUUAGAAUCAAAGGCACUAGAGAUGCUGAAUAUGAUUUUUUGCACGUCAGUCUGAUCCCAGCCUUUCGAUUUCUGAUUACUGGAAUUUAAAAUUUUACUUUGUUUUCGUCAUUUUGACAUUGGGAUAUGAUGAUGAGAUGUAGAUCAAAGGCAUUAGCGGUGCUGAAUGUUUAUUUUGCACGUCAGUCUGAUCCCAGCUCACUGUUCCGAGAUUGUGCUGCCUUCUUGCAUUUCCUAGUUAAAAAAAUGUACUCCUUGGACAUGGAUCUAAACGAACUUCAAAAUAUGAAUGAUUAAGAUUUCGUGAUCAGUGUCAUUCAUAGUUUAUGAUCACUAAUUUAAAUCUCGUGGCAUAUCUUGCAGGGUGUUUAUAGCCAAUUAGAUGCCACACUCACUGAAAGCUUAACUUACGAUUUAGGUUCUGGUUGUGUAUCCCCCCCCCUGUCCACCGCCUUUAACCUUGUACUUCUAAGCAAUUGAUUGUAUUUCCUGAAUAAUGGCUACAUAUUUCGUAAUUGUUCAUGCUCUGCUGAUUAUAUUUUUGCACGUCUCUGUUCCUAAUAAAACUGCACACUAUUUUACGAAAAAAGACGUGCACGCUAAUAUCGUACACCAAUGUAAUAUAACACUAUUAACAACAAAAAGUUCUUAGUACGGGUUCAAUGUCAUCAUGCAACAUCCAUGAUGCCGUUCCUUAGUCUCUCUACGUGACUCUGUGUUGCAUUUGGUAAACUAUUUCUUAAACUUCUGGCUCCGUUUACUGCAGGUCACUUUCUUCAAGAAUCGUGUCAAUAUUGCCAGCGGCACACCAAACAGGUUAGUCACCAGUCAUUUCAUCUCGAUAUUGAUGUUACAAUGGGUCGUUUGGAUGAGGUAUUUGAAAGUGGUAUUUUGGCUCAAGUAACUCAAACUAAAGUUAUAACUGAGUUAUUUGGGCCAAAACACUUCGUUUUCCAUCCGAAAUAAAAGUCGUUAUAUUUCAUAACUGUGAUAUUUGAAAUAAUUAUGGAUGUGAUAUUUGAAAUAACUCAAUUUAAAACCAUAACUCAAAAUGAUAGCUAAACGAAUAAUUCUUAUCCCCCAAAUUCUUACAACUGAUCCAAACGAUUAAUGUUUACUUGCUCAUCCUUUUCGUUCUAGCUGAAUAUUUGCAUUUCCGAAAUAAUGCGCCCCACAUGAGUUCGGUAUACAUUGGUGAUUGCUUUUGCAAGUUUUCCGUGCAUGAAUUGUUGUGGUAUUCAUCAGAAAAUUACCAAUAGGAAAUAGUUAAGAGGUCGUAGAAAAUGCAUCGGGAGUGUCAUUUUAUAUUGUAGGGGCAAAAAUUGAUUUUGAUGAAUUUGAACUUUCUUGACUAGAUUCUUGAUAAAAAAAACUAUCUUGACUAGGUUGAAGAAGUUGAUAGAUAUAAAAGCAAUGGGGCUCUCGCGGUUUUAAAGUUAUCGUGCUAGAUGUCCACCAUGAUGUAAAGGGUUAUUCCUUGCUCACACUUCCACAAGGGGGAGAUAUAGAGAGAAUGUCCGGUCUCUUUUCAACACAGCGAGGAGCAUAGUCGAUUUUGUCAUGUGAAGAGUUGCUGUUGUACAAGUGUUAGUUUGUUAUUUUGACAGGACACUUUUUCAAUUAUUCAAAACUUAUAUUCUAGCUAAGCUAAGGGUAAAUAUCCAUUUUGUAAUUUCACUUGUUGCUGCUUCUACCAAGAGACAGCACACAAGGAAUUAUACUCAUCGGCUUCCUGGCCGCAAUUGAGUUAAAUCUUCUUUUCGGCCCCUAGCGUUUAAAAUAAAAUAAAUCUUUCACCGGCUACCUUCAAAAUCCUCUGUUUAUCUUUCCUUUGAUCUUAUCAAAUUUUUAUAGUGACAAAGUUUGUGAAAUUACUUAAUAAAAAAAAGAAAAAAUUAUUAAACAAUUGCUAAUAUUUAGGCCCGACAUUCGAUAUAGCACAUGUUUUUUAUAAUAUUUUUUUUUGCCCAAAUUUCAAAUUAUGUUAAUUCCUUUAAGUUAAAAUUAACGGAUUGGUGACAAAUGCUGACAAGGCAAACAAUGUGUCUGAUGUGGAUGGAUGAAAAGAAGUCAAUCGGAAAUAAAUACACAGUCAACAUACAGUUAAAAAAUUUUAUAACAAAAACCACCCACAUUCCUUAUCCUCUUCGUCGACCAGCCUUUUAUCACCCACCUGUCACCUCCCUUCUAAAUUAAUUUUCAUCAGAUGGGGAGAAAGAGUGGAAGAAGAAGAAGAAGAAAGAAAGAUGGAGCAAGGUGCAUUUGAUUUGAAUCCCGACAAUGUCGACAACAAUCUUGUAUCUAAAUUCUUUGUCGAUUUGAAUUUCGAUGAUGCCAACAACAACCUCAUUCUUGAACUCUCCGUCGAUUUGAAUCCCGACGAUCCCAUCAACAACACCAUUCCUGAACUCUUCGACAAUUUGAAUCCCGACGAUGCUGAUAACAACCUCAUACCUGAAUUCUCCGUUGAUUGAAUCUCAAUGAUGCCAACAACGACUCUCUAUCGUUGUCGAUGAAAUGCCCAAGCUUGUGGAGAGAUGGAUACAGGGAGUAGUAGCAGGUACAUGUCCAAAUAUGGAUGUUGAGAAAUCCUCCUCGGCUGUCGAUUUCGAAUGGUCCCCACGUUUCAAAUUGAUUUUAGUGUUCUUGCUGGGAGUAGGUUUGCACGCGGCUGAGAUUGGGUUUAUCUGUUUGUUGCAAAUGAAUGAAUUGAAUUGGUUGGUUUUUUAUUGGGGGUGGGUUUUGCAAGCAAGUUGAGUUGUUUGAUUGGUUUGAAGUUUUUUUUGUCUUGAUUGGGUUUUGUAAAAAAUGCUAGCAGAAUACUGACAAUGGAGGAGAAGGUGGAGGAAGGAAAAAGAAGGUGGAGGAGAUGAAUGAUUUUUUUGGUAGCUGAGUUAUUAUUAUUUAAUGAAAGGAGGUAAAUAAAAUUUACCUAACUAAGCUGACGUGACCAGUGAUUGUUAUGUGGCGUCGGACAUGGUAUCUUGAUGAUUUUCUUCUUACGGCGUUUCGUGUUUGGUUAACUAUAACGGUCAACGACAAAGUCAACUGAUUUUCGUUAGUGUGAUUUGAAUUUUGUCAGAAAAAAAUGUAUUUCGGAAAACAUGUGCCAGAUCAUUUGUCGGGUUAAAACAUUGCCAAUUGUGUUAGCUAAUUUUUCCUAAAAUAAGUUAGUGACAUUUUAUCAAGUCGAUCUACACUACAGGAAACUAGAUGUUUAACAACAUCAUUUUUUCUUGUUGACGACAACCAUUUCCUGUUGUUAUGUAUCAUAACGGCGGCUUUGAUUGCGCUAUUAAGAUUGCCAAUGCAAAGAGAUCCUACCAGCGAAAUAUUGGCCGCGGUUAAGUGGGGAAGCGUAACAGCGAAUAGCUGGCCGCUGUUAGGUUGCAUCCUAAUAGCGAAAUAUGACCGAUGUUAGACGAAAUUCUAAUAGUGGCAUUGUGUCCGUUGUAAGGAUUUCGCCUAACAGCAACUACAUAUCCUCAUAGUUUUCUUAUUAUUUUAUUUUUUUCGUUUGGCUAUUUUCCAUAUAUAUCCAACUUGUUCAAGUAAUUUUUUCGAUAGGUAGAUAGAAAUACAAAUUUGGGAAACACUUUGCUAAAUAUAAAACUAGUCAUUUUGAUUAAAUAUUUGAUUGUUAGGACACAUACUAAUUCCUUGGCUUAAACUACACCAUCCUUCUAAAGUAACUACUUGAUUCAUAGUUGUUCAUCCAACAUGUACAAUCCACUAAACAUAGACUACUCCUCUUGGUCGUAAUCAAGCUCAUCGUCCCUCUCAUUUGUUUCCAUCAUAGUGCUCGUUCACAUUUGUUUGCAUCAAAUGGCUGCCAUCAUACAUUUGGAUUUAGAACAUCUGCCUCAUCUCCUCCAAAUCAUGAGAUAAGCCAACUUGAGAGUUGGCAAGAUGAGCUAUACACCUACAAUACACCAAAUAAAAGUUAGUUUUUUUAUCCAAAAAAAUUUGCAUGACCAAUUCGAAUUCACGGUUUAACUUAUACUCUUUGAUCUACAAAAUGAACAAACGAUACUAGAUUUGGAAGGACAAGUUUCGACAGCUACAAUGAAUCAAGGAAACCUUUUACAUCUACAUUAUCAAAACAUAAUUGCAGAAUUAAAAGUAUAAACCAUGAGUAAGGUUGAAUGAUAAAAUUUUCACUAUUUAGAGGUGUCGGUUAAAAUGUGCAAAUUGGAUAAUAAAUUUGCAUGGGAAGGAUGAUUAUGUAGAUUACGUAAUAAACUAACAAAUACAUAUAUACUUAUGAUUUGAAUGGGACUUGUAAGUUAAAAUUGGAGGCGCCCCUCUUAAUUUGUACCUAUUGUAUGUUCACUAACCACCCAUAAUAAAAACAAGCAAGAAAAAUUGGAUUUGGUGGAUCACUCGAUGAAGAAACAAGAUUCGAAACUAGCCCUCAUAACUUGAUUAGGUGAAGUUUCUACCUAUAACAGUCCAACUUAGUGGUAGAAUUAAUUUAGGAUUAAUGCUGAAAAAUACAAAUACUUAUUCAUUUUGCUUUCACUCUAAAUCCUAAAUGGCGCACCACUGUUCCUGACUUCUCUUUUUUGUUCUUCGAACGUAUACGAUAUGCCCUCGCCAUAGCAUCCUCCUUGCUAACCCCAUGUUAGUAUUUGGUUCCUUCAUAAACUGUUUGACUUCAACCUAUAUUCAAUCUCAAAAUCUUAAAUAUAUUAGAAUUGCAUCUUAUCAACAAAAGGUCAAAACACAAUAAAAUUAUAUGCAACUUACAUAAAAGUCUCAAGUAACAUAUGUUUCAUCUUCUCUUUCAUAACACUUGAAAAAGAACUCAGAUCUUCUUACUUCUUUUCCUUUCGCUUUCUUCUACAUUAUACGUUCUACAAUCAAUACAAAUUAACUUCUCAUGACUUUUGGAACAUAAUAUAAAGACGAUUGAUGAGAUGCUUACUUACCAUCUCUUCACGAAUUAUAUUGAAAGGUUUUGACCCUUUCGUAUGAUAGAUGUCUUGAUUAGAACGAUACCUUGUUUCUUUGCAGAUGCAGUCUAUAAAACUGCUAGUAAUUGACAAAUGACAAUAAUAAAUAUCAUUAUAUCAAAUAUAAGUACAAAUGUAAAACUUACUAGAGUUGGCUUCCCCUCCUAUAUCUGCAAAACAUAUCCCACUCACGUUCAUCAAUAUUUGGUGGUUUCCUGUCUAAGUUGAGCUGAAGACCUUGAGUAGCAUCGAUAUUUGGUGGUUUCCUAUCACGUUCAUCGAUACUAAUCAAUUUUCUUUGGAUAUGACUAAUGUAAUGAAGAAGAUAGAAGAGAUUAAAUCUAAAACCCUUAUGAUUACCCUGCAUUCAUAAAGACUGCAAUGCAAUAUGUACAGAGAGGCGUGGACACAUAGCAAAGUCCUUACAAUUUUGACAAUUACCAUCCAAUACAAUUUUGUAAGCUACAGCUAACAUUCAUGAGCUAAUAAGUUUUGUCAGGUCGGUUACGAAAGAAAACACACUUAACUUCAUAAACAAUAAUAAAUUAUGAAAACCCCCAAAUCAAAGUUAGGGCUCAUCUAAAUCAUUAACAAAUCAUACAAACUGAUUUCAAUCUCAAAAUUAAACUUAGACCCAGCACUAUAAAUAAGAUGUCUAACCUAAAGCUAGAACAAAACACUUCCAAUUCACUAAACGGAAAACAUUUCAAAGAUCUAGAUUUUACUAACCUUUCAAUUUUCUUGCUAACACAAGAUGACUGAUUGAGAUGAUGGACAGGAACCAAAAUGAGCCGCAGCUGGAAGGCCGGAGCAAGCGACGCCGGCACGAAGAAGAAAAACGCCAGCGAACGGCCGUUGGUGAAGAUACUAUCUGGCUGUGUCCUUUGUUCAAUUUGGGGAAAGUUGGGUUUUUACGUGGUGUUGGGGGGUUAUAUGUAUUUGGAGUUUCGUUUAUAUUAAUAUAAUGAAGAAUUAAGUCUCAUUUUGUUUGGGGCUUUAAAUUAAUAACCCAACGUCGGCUUGAUUCUCUACAUAGCCGCUGAUAGGAUUACUCUUAGCAGCUGCCAUCUAAAUAAGAGCCACUGUUAAGUUGUUGUAUUCCAUCAUAUUUUUUAAUUAUUAUCCUAACAUCGGCCAAUAUUAAUCAGGGCCGAUGUUAGGUAGUAAUAACGUAUCAGUAGCCUUCCAUUUAUUGUUAGGAUAUUGACCUAACAUUGAGACCAUGUCCGUUGUUAAAUUUUGUAUGUUAAAAUAUCCUAACUGCAGGUCUAUGUGGCUACAGUUAAAUUGGCAAUAUUAGGUAGUCAGUUUCUUGUAAUGCUACCUUGUUUAUCAUAGAAAAUUUGUUAUGACAAACGUGAUUGUUGUUGUUACAUAACAACACUCUAAUUUUCCAUCUAUUUUUAAUUUUAAAAAUUUGACAGUCUUAAUUUGUUGAAUAUUUUUAAUCUUUUUUACAUUUUUAUCUCUCAUAAAUAUGUCCUAAUUUUUAGUUAAAGAAUCCUCAUUCAAUUUCUAUUUCUAUUUCUAUUUUUUUACCUAUAUUUAAUUAAGUUAAUAACUUAAUAUUUCCUUAAUUGCUUUUUACAGGUUGUCAACGGAGUUCUGGUACUCCCAACAAGUGAGAAGAACGAUCAGAUUAGUAACAGAGCACAAACAAAGGUACAAAAUAAAUUACCAUAUCACAGUCUCAGGUAUAUAACUCCAUACAAUAGCACAUUCAUGGGUACAUAACUAGACAAAAAUUAAUCAAAAAUUGAUACUUCAAUACACGAGGUAUAAAAUGCAGUACCAUAUCACAAACCCCUUUUUUUUUUUUUUUUUUUUUUUUUUUUUUUUUUUUUUUUUUUUUUUUUUUUUUUUUUUUUUUUUUUUUUUUUUUUUUUUUUUUUUUUUUUUUUUUUUUUUUUUUUUUUUUUUUUUUUUUUUUUUUUUUUUUUUUUUUUUUUUUUUUUUUUUUUUUUUUUUUUUUUUUUUUUUUUUUUUUUAUUUUUUUUCUUUUUUUUUUAUUGUCUGUUUUUUUCUUUUAUCCUGUUUUUCUUCCUUUUCAAGAUCUUGAAAAGAGAGAGAAAAUGAGAGAGAGAGAAUGAGAAAGAGAAAACGAGGGAAAGAGAAUGAGAGCAAGAGAGAGAGAGAGGAGGAGAAAUUUUUGGAGUUUUUUUAUUUUUAGUGGCUUUGAUAUUGAAAAUACUAUAUAAAGAAUUUUAGAUGAAAUCAGUCAGUUGAUACAAUUAUUGUUGUUAUGUGCUAUUAUCGUAUGAUAAGCGGGUGGGGCUUUUCUUGUUUUCGUAAACAUCAAGAUUUUAUUGGUUGGGUCUAUGAUUCCAGCCUACAUGAUACUCAAAAGGGCCCUGGUUCAUCUGGAAAUGAAAAGUGCUUUAUGAACGUUUGGAUUGGUGCUUCCUUGACUCGGUUUGGUAACUUCAAUUUCUACCCACCUAUAUCGUGUUAAGUCGGAUCACCGACCUAUUUUCAUGGUUGCGACCAAGCUCAAGAAGUCAAAUCUUCCUCAUACCUUUCGCUUUAUGGCUUCAUGGUUGUCACAUGUUGAGUUUAAGCCUUUUUUUGUCGGAAUGGAAUCGGUCUUUUACCUUUAUUCAUCAGAUGUCCAUUCGAGCUACCAAACUGAAAAAAUGAAAUAAGGAAAUUUUUGGCAACAUCCAAACGAAUAGAAGGAGCUUAUCUUUAAACUUGCUGAUGUUUAAGCUCUCGCAGCUCCUCUACUCAUUCAAGACACCACAAUGGACAUUGCAAGUGACCGGAAUACUCAUUUUUUUCACGUAUCCACCUUCCGUAGGCGUGCUCGGAACCACAUUAUUAAGUGAAGGAUGACUGUGGGGUGUGUAUUCAUUAGGUUUGGGAGUCGGUUAAUUUGGUUAAUAACCAUCGGUUAAUGGUCGGGAAGCGCUUUGAUGAUUGAAAUUAAUUAACCAAAUUAACCGACCGAGCAAAAGCCACGGUUAAUCUUACCGACCGAUAACCGACCAAUCAGUUAAAUGAUCGAUUAUUAACAGACUGACUCUCGGUUAACCGUUGUAACCGGCUCUGACCAAUUUAACUCUCUUCUCAUAUUGCAACAAGAUUCUAGGCUCUGGCUCUAGAUCCGUCGUCGAUUCAAGCCUUGGAGACCAUAGCUUCUCUUCUGGAAACAAUCCGGUGCUCUACAACUUGAUCCUUCGGGACUGGAAGCUUUCCGAGACGGCGUUGUUGCGGAUCAGUAAGGAGAGGAGGAAGCUUCAAGCCUAUGGUGUUGCAGAUCGAAGAAUUGAGAGAGUGGAGGAGGAGAGGAUUGGCCGUGGCGACGAAGGAAGCAUGUGGUGUUGCAGAUCGAAGAAUCGAGAGAGUGGAGGAGGAGAGGAGCGCUUGCGGUGACUCGUCGUGGUCGUCGUCGUGACUGCCGGCGAGAUGCUGAAAUUGAAUCGCUUGGAUUGAUAGAGUUGUCGAGAUGGAUUGAUGGAGUUGUCGAGAUGGAUUGAUGGAGAUGGCUCGGAGUUAACCUAAUUUCAGAAUGAGAGGUUGUGAUGGAGUGGGAGGCUGGGAGGGGAGGGAGCGAUUCUGCGAUUGUGGUGAGCAAAGCUUGAUUUCCUAAUUGGGGACCUUGGUUUUUUUAAUUACCGGUUAACGUUGGUUAACUCGAGUUAACCAACGAUUUUACCCUGCUCCAACAAGUACUCCCAACUGUUCCCCGACCGACCCCUACCUCGGUUAAACCGACACUCUAACCGAGUCGAUCAGUUCAUCUGUUUAACCUAUUAACCGAGACUGAUGGCCCACCCUUAGUAUUCAUCCAGCUUGUUGCUGCAAUUAGUGUCGUAUUGAUAUGGUUGAGAGAGGAUAAAAUAUGCUUGAUUUCAAGUUCUCCAACUUGAAAGGUUUAGCUGUUAAAAAUGUAGAGGUCAUGACUGAGUACUGAUUUCCAGCAAGGAGAAGUUGGAUAUUUGCUUGCGAUAAAAAAGAAUUUGGACAGUCUAUCUUAGGCACAAAAUCUAACGGAUGAGAUGGCAACUUUACUUCAGGGGCCUAUUGGUCAUUUUAAAAUUUUCUUGUUUUUCAGUUUAUUUUUCCAUUCUGUUUAAUAUUGGUUCAAGUAAAAUGAUUUCUUGUAAAUUGGGUCUAUUGAGUAACGUGGGUGGGUAGACUUUAUUGCUCCCAUCGAGCUUGACGUGAUAUUUUCUUCUUCGUUUCUUUAACAUGCAUAAAUUGUAUAUAAUACGAAAGGUUGGAAAUAUAUGUGAAGCUCGAGGUUUAUUAUAUAUGUUUCGAGGUUUAUUAUAUAUGUUGAACCUUUUUGCCAAUUGGUUAUUUUUAUCAUGUAGUGCCUUAUCAAGUAAAGGGAAUGGUUGUUUUUAUCUACUGUCACUAGCCAACUUUCUUUCUCAUGUGAUCAAUUAUUUGAUCACGCAUGAAUGACUACAGUACACAAAAGAUAGAAAUAUUAUAAAAACAAAAAACAAAUAUUAAAAAAAAAUACCUAAAAAGCAGGUACAUAACAACAAAAACAAUAACCGUAAAUAUCAAGUACAUGAAAGCGGAUGCUCAAAAUAAGCACGCACACAUUAAAAACUUUGGUACAUACAAGGCAAGAAAAUCGAGAACAUAUUGGAACUCGAGUACCGGAAUUGGUACGGUAUUAAGUACAACGUGAAGAAAUAUCAAGUACAUUAAAAAGCGAGUAUAUAACAAUAGAAAUAAGUACACGAAAACAACUCAGAGAAAUGAUAAUUUGAUUGCCAAAAUUGAGUAUGAUAAAGUAAAAUGCAAGCACGUAGUACAUGAAACAAAUAUGAGUAAGAGUACAUAAAUUUUUUAGUACAAUACAAGACAAAAACUCAAAUACAUAUAAAAACUGGACACUAAAAAAAAUAAUUAAUUAUUCACAAUUUUAAAUAAUAAUAGUCACGAUUUUUAUCAUGAUUAACAGAAGCUAGUCACGAAAAUAAAUCCGUAACUAACCUAACCGAUGCUAGAUGAACUUGUCACGAAUCUGAAUAACCUGUAACUAAGUUGUCACCGAAAUUUUCCGUGACCAACUCAUCACGGAAGAAACCGUGAACAUAUGUGUUUUUGUUUUUGUUUUUUAAAUUAGUGGCACGGAGCCAUAUGCUGUGAUAAUUGAUUUAUUAAUAAAUUAAUCCCACAUCUCCGUGGCUACUAUAUCACCAGAAUUUCCAGAUUCCGGCAACCACAAUUUCCAGAAUCCGGCAAUAAGAUAGAGUUGAUAAUUGCUUUUUUAUUAGAGUAAAAUGUUCUACAUCUAUACAUUAUGAUACCCAUAUCAAAAUUCCAGAAUCCCAAAAUUGAACAUAACGUCAACGAAAGGCACCAUGCAACAAUGGUGACACUAAGGGUUACAACAACCAGCAAAACCGAAACACAGACUGGAAAUGCUACCAAGAGAAGGAUGAGACUAGAUGAUGAGAUUGAGAUUGAGAGAAGAAAAAUGAUAGUAAGAAAUUUUGUUUUCGAGAGAGAUCAAAUGAAGAUGAGAUCUACUUCUAAUUUAAUAUAAUGGAAAUGGAGAUAUGGUUGUUUAAUGGCAAAGAGAGAAGAAAGGAAUAGCCCAUUAAACGAGGAUAGAGUCUGCAUCAUUUCUUUUUUCGACCUUUUCCCACUAAAAUGCUAAUUUUAAAAUUAUAAAUAAAAGUUGGUCACGGUUCCAACAUUUACCGUGAGUAGUUGGUCGCGGUAUUCAACAAUCCAUGACUAGUUAUGGAUUUUUUUUUAUCUAUAAGUAGUUAGUCAUGGUUUUUAAAGCCGUGAUUAAUAAAUCGUGAUUAAUCGUUGAUUUUUUUUGUAGUGCGAGUAUGAGUAUUGAGUAAAACGUCAUGUACAAAAACAAGUACAUCAAAAGCGAGUACAUAAUUAUCAAAACAAGUACUAAAACGAGAGGAAAAGUACAUAAAAAGCGAGUAUAUAAUAAUAGAAACAAGUGCAGUAAAAAUCAAGUGCAUGAAAGGAAAACGAAACUCAAACUAAACACUAAUACAAAAAAAACUUUAGUACGCAAAUAAGUAAAUACAAGAAAAUUAACAUACACAAACGAAUACAUAAGAGUAUAGUGUUUAAACAAAGCGAUUAUACGGAUCAAUACGAUGUUGAGUACAAAACAACAACUUGAGGCUUUAUCCCUCAUUUUUAGAUGAUUUUGUACUAAGUUCUUAUAUGUAUUAGUUUUUAUUAAUGUAAUCCCUCGUGUACUUUGUCUUUGGAUUUAUUUUUAUGCCAUAUCUAUUUAUUUACGCAUUUGUGUAUACUUAUAUUUUUAGAACUUUAUACUCAAAUCAAUUAAUCAAACAAUAAAACUAUUUUCUCUUUACACGAACCAACAUAAUAACCCAUCACCCCAUACAGGGUUGUGAAGGAGGUGCAGUGACCAGAAUUUUCUAGUUGUUGCUUUUCUAUAGUUUGAUAAGGGUAAGCAUCUUGUUCUAGAAUAUAUGUUGUUAGGUUAUAACAAUGCAUCUAGUUGAGCAUGAUUCUUUGGUCAAGUGUUACUGGGAUUCUUUUUGUUCCACAUCAAUGCUCGGAGGUCGAAGAGGCAACGAGGGUGACGAAGAAAUCGGCAUCACCACGUGAGAGAAGAUGAAGAAGAGGUCAGAGAGUGGAGCCGGUGGAAAAGAUAUACUAGAAGAGGUACUUAAAGUUACUUGUACGACAAAACUGCCCUUAUUCAAUUGGACAACCCCUAGAUUAAAAUUUAAAAAUGAACGGACGCGAUUCGUUUGCGGCCAGCAAACACAUAAUAUCAUGGCUGCCUAUCCGGACUCGUCAUAACUGGCGUCAACAUUACGUAGUGUUGUCAAAAAUUAAAAAGGGGAAUAUAUAAUAAUAAUAAUAACAGACGUAAUCUUGUGUAUAUAAUGAUAUUAAAACGUUUUUCAAUCGACAAAGCCAAGUCUGCGGGAGGAACAGCUAAUGGACGAACAGCCUAAGCAUAAGCCGCCUUCUUCGUAUUCUUCAGAUUCUCUGAAUCUCUACCCUUUUUUUUUGUUACGCGGAUUCCCUUCCCUCGUCUGCAAACAAAAAGCUCUUCGUUGACUUUUUAGCAGGCUUUUUUAAAAAACCUUAAUUGAAAAAAUUUGUACAUGGUUGUUGCCUUUGUUGGCGUCAGCAUGACCCAAUGCUGUUGUCAUGUUCAUGAUUGCUCCAACUCACCUGGCUGCGCAUCUGCCUUCUGACCUGACCUGCCCUCCUCCUUUUUUUUAAAUUAUGUUUCCCCAAAAUUAAAUUUAAAUCGUUACAAAAUUGGUCUCUCCUUCUCCUAUAUAUAACGUGGAAGAGCUCCUGCCAAAAAAGUCAUUCAAACUCAAAGCAGAUAAAUUAUCAAAAUAAAAAAGAAAACCCCAGUGCUCUGCCUGCCGUUAAGAAAUUAGUUUAUUGGGUUUGUUGUGUUUAUGAAAGCUGUGUUCCAGAGACUGAUAUCGUCAAGCACCCAGAUUGGCUGUAGGAAGAAAGUUGCAUCUUUUCCAUUAAUCAGAAGCGCUAAUAUGUCUGAAUCCUCUGCCUUUGAUUCUCCGAGAUUGGUGACCAAGAAGGUCCUUGCUAAGCUUCAGCGUGAAGGGGAUGGUGCUUCUGUCAGGAGAAGCAUUGGAAGGUAUAAUAUAAUAUAUCAUGGAUGGAUGGAUGGAUAUACAAUUUUCUUCUUGUCAAAAUUGAAUUAACUGUUUUCGUUUCUGUGGUGAAAUUGAAUGAUUGAAUGUUGAAUUAUUUUGGUUCAGGAGUGAGCUCAGGUCUCUGGACCCUUUCCUCAUGUUGGAUGAGUUUUCAGGUCUGCUUUGCUUAAUUACUUGAAACCAAAUUCCUUGAUAUUUUCUAGAAUUAGGAUGAUGAUGGAUGAUGGAUGGUAUUUAAUUUGUUGUUGCAAAUUGCAAUGCAUGAAGUCUCAGCUCCUGCUGGAUUUCCUGAUCAUCCACACAGAGGUUUUGAGACUGUUACAUACAUGCUGGAGGUACAGACAGUACUGGAGUUAAUUAUUUAUUAUGAAUUGAAGGCUGUUUUUUGUCCUUGGUAGUCUAUUUAUUGAUGUCUGUGAAAUUCGUGGGUGGCACUGGCAGGGAUCAUUCACUCAUCAAGAUUUUUCUGGGCAUAGAGGGACUAUUCAUGCCGGGGAUGUUCAAGUAAAAUAAUUCACUCAAUUACAAUACUACGACGUUUACUUAAUUAGCUAGCUUUACUUGAUCAAAGUCAAAAACUCUUUCUUUUUUUAAAGUAAACAACAACAACAACUUGUGUGUUUUCCUGUUGGGCAGUGGAUGACAGCAGGUAGAGGGAUAGUCCAUUCAGAAAUGCCUGCAGGAGAAGGAGUCCAGAGAGGCCUUCAGCUUUGGAUAAACCUCUCUUCUCAACAUAAAAUGUAUGUUUUUAUUUCCUUUUUUGUUUGUACUUUCCAACUUCACCAUUCCAACAGUUUGUAAUAUGGAACCAACAGGAUUGAGCCAAGGUAUCAGGAACUUCUGAGGCAGGACAUCAAAAGAGCAGAGAAAGACGGGGUUGAAGUCCGAAUCAUAGCAGGGGAAUCAAUGGAAAUCGAGUCUCCAGUUUAUACAAGGACCCCAACAAUGUACCUUGAUUUCACACUGCAACCAAGGUCCCAAAUGCACCAGCCCAUUCCAGAAUUAUGGAACGCAUUCAUUUACGUCAUUGAAGGUGAGGGAGUGUUUGGGAUCCCAAACUCCUCACCAGUUGAAGCACAUCAUACACUCGUUCUAGGCCCUGGUGAAGGAAUGAGCGCCUGGAACAACUCCUCUUCCAAACCCUUGAGGUUUGUCUUGAUUGCAGGCCAGCCACUUAACCAACCAGUGGUGCAGCAUGGUCCUUUUGUCAUGAACACAGAAUCUGAAAUCCACCAAGCAAUUGAAGAUUACCACUACUCCAAAAAUGGGUUUGAAAUGGCGCAGUAUUGGAGUUCCCAAUAGGGAACAAGUAAGUGCUUGGAUCACUCAAAACCAAAUCUCCACAUUCCCUCUCAACUUUGAAGAAGAAAAGAGUAAAGAAUAAAAAUACACAUCCACAAACACUAAAGGCCACACGCAUAUGUGAGUGAUACUCAUUUGUGUUCCAUCAUGUAUUAAUUUAGCUUUUAUCCUCUUCCAACCUUUUACUAUUCCAAAUCAAAAGGUUGAUUAUUGCAUUGUCACACAAAACAAUGAUAAUAAAAAUACUCAAUUCAUAUAAUCCUUAGAAUUAAUUCUUUUCAUAACUAUAGUAGAUGUUUGAACAAGUGAGAACAAAAUAUAAGCUUAAUCUUAAUAGUAAUAUCAACGGAUAAUAGCACUGUGUGUCACUUAAUUAUUACCCAUGUCGCACAUAAACUACUUAACUUUCUACAUUGCACAUAAAGCCACUUAACUUUGCUUAUGCUUGCAACAUCCAAAUUUUCAUUCAAUUUAUGGAUAGACUGAUCGAAUUGAUGAGUUCUUAUUCGAGAUCUUCUGUAUGAAUAACCUCCAACACAUUAAAGAGAACAAUAAUUUAUAAGAACUGACAGAAUAACUUAUUACUUGUUUACAGAAAAGAAUGAUAAAAUAAAAAGGCAAGAAUAGAUUAUAAUCAUGCCUUGGACACUGCUUUCGAAAAAAUAUUUCCCGAAUUUAGAACACCAAUACAACUAAAGGUUAAUCACAAUAUUCACUCAAACUCUAGUGUAGGGCUUGAAUGUUGGAACUUGGAAACUUAUGCUAUUUUGAUUCCGAUUUUGAGAGUGAAAACAAAGUUUUCUGCCCAUAUUAAUCAACUAGGAUUUCCCUUUUUAAAGAGAACGCAUCCACUAACCAACAUCAAAUCCAGAUUCUCCUUUCUGAUGAUCAUCAAUGAUAAGCAGAUAUGGGGAAGGUGGAGUUGAGCUCCCGAUUUCUAGGAAGCCAACCAAAUACUUCUGUUAAGCAUAAGUCUUGAGUAUAUGCGGUAUGUAACUGAUCAUUACUGUUACUUCAAGUGGUUAGAUAAUGGUUACAUCAUCUUGCUGUUGUCCGUUGAUGACAUGUUGAUAGCAAGUUCUAUUGUAAAAGAAGUAAACAAGUUGAAGAAACAGUUAUCUAACAGUUUACUAUUAAGAAUAUAGGAGACGCUAAACAGAUUUUGAGUAUGUGCAUUGAUCAUGAUAGGCAAGUAGGAAAGUUUUAUCUUUCGCAAGUUGAAUAUAUCAAGAAAGUCUUGAAGAGGUUCAAAAUGCAGGAUGCAAAACUAGUAAAGAUUCCUUUGGGUGGCUAUUUCAAGCUAUUUGAGAAGGAUAUGCCUAAUAAUGAUCCAGAACGUGCCCAAAUGCACGAAACACCAUACAUUUUUGUAAUUGAUAGCUUGAUGUAUGGAAUGGUGUGCACAAUACCAGAAAUUGCACAUGUAGUGGGAGUUGUCAAUAGAUUCAUGGGAAAUCGGGGGGAAGCGAUUAAGUACUCCUGAGAUAGUUGAAGAUUACUACUAAAAGGGUCUUGGGCUUUGAGGGCAAAGUAAUGUAGUUAGAAGGAUUUGUCAUCAAGUGACCUUGAUAGAAGAAGAUGUACAACAUGGUAUAUUUUUACUCUUUGAGGUACCAUGGUUUCUUGGGCUUUUAAGUUGCACUGUCUAACACUCAAGCUAAAUAUGUUGCGGUAACGAAGGCCAGCAAAGAGAUGGUAUGGUUUUAGAAUUUCUUUGGUGAAUUGGGGAAGAAGAAAGAGGAUAGCAUAUUGUACAUUAGUCUUAUACACUUGCAAAAAAUUCAGCAUUUCAUUCAAAAUCGAAGCUCAUAUUGAGUUGAUGUAUCACUUUAUGGGUUGAUCUCUUGGAAAGGAAGAUCUUACGGCUUAUGAAGAUUCUAGGAAGUGAGAAUCCUAUGGAUAUGCCGACUAAGGUUGUAAAGUUGGAGAAGUUGACACUGUGUAUGACUUUAACUGGUUUUGUAACUGAAGUUGAAGGUCAGAUGCUGCUUGUAGUAGGAAGACGUUGAACAUGGAGAACCAAUGAGAGGAGUAUGUCUUCAGGUGGGAGAUUGUUGGGUUAUGGUGCCUAAGAAACUGAAGGCUUGGUCCAGUUAGUUUGUUUAGUUAGAUAAAAAUUAAGAUUAAUCUUGUCUAUUCUAUAUAGGAUUAGAAUUAAUAUGGUAGCUCCCUAUAAAUAAUCUAUAUUCAUAUCAUUGUAAUCUGUAUCACAACAAUAGUAGUCGAAAUCCUAACUUGGUUUGUAAAAAAAGAAAUUCUAGCGUGGUAGCGCCCUAGACAUACUCUUCUCGUGAAGAGGAACUAGGUUCUUAAUUUUUCAGUUUAUGAUUGCGUUUCAUUUUUUACAGGAACGACCAGAUCCAGCUCAGAAACUUCCUCAAGAUGGCGACGUUGAAGAAGCUCUGUCUCGCUAACGCCUAACAAUGGCUUCUCUAGACUGAUUCAGACUGUCCUCACCGCUGGAAAAGGAGAUUAGAUAGAAAUCCAUCUUUUAUUCCUCUUCAUUGUUUUUAUGACAAUUUCUUCUUUUCUUUUAUAAUAGAGAACUAUUUAUCACUUUUGUUGGACAUUUCUUGUUUGUUUCCCUCAAGAACUAAUAAUUUUGGUCAAUGGGUGACCACUGAUGAUGUUGAUUCUAUAAGCUUUAGUAUUUAGUCAAAUUCUUGAGUUUUUUUCAACUAGAAAAAAAAAGAAGAGAGGUUACAGUUUCAAUUAUUAAGUUUGAAGAAUUAAAGAAAAAAAACUAGACUACAGAUAUGAAAAGGUAAUUCUGAUAAUUUUUAUUGAUGAAUUUUUUUUUUGUAAUGAGUAAGAUAAUUUUUUAGGUUUUAUAAAUGGGUUUUUGGUUAAAAAUCUCAUUUAGAUAGAGUUUUUGAUGGGUAAUUAUGAAAUUUGACAUAAAGGGUACAUGAUUAAAAAGGUGGGAAAGGAAGAUGCGAAAAGAAGGUAAGAAGGAAUCAAUUCAUGGCAAAAAAGAAAAAUAAAUAAGAGGGAAGAAAGAAGACAUAUAUUGAUGGGAGGCGGAGGUGGGAUAGGGAGGUGAGAGAAAGAUGUAACAACAAAGAAGGGUUUAGCGAAAGGUGNNNNNNNNNNNNNNNNNNNNNNNNNNNNNNNNNNNNNNNNNNNNNNNNNNNNNNNNNNNNNNNNNNNNNNNNNNNNNNNNNNNNNNNNNNNNNNNNNNNNNNNNNNNNNNNNNNNNNNNNNNNNNNNNNNNNNNNNNNNNNNNNNNNNNNNNNNNNNNNNNNNNNNNNNNNNNNNNNNNNNNNNNNNNNNNNNNNNNNNNNNNNNNNNNNNNNNNNNNNNNNNNNNNNNNNNNNNNNNNNNNNNNNNNNNNNNNNNNNNNNNNNNNNNNNNNNNNNNNNNNNNNNNNNNNNNNNNNNNNNNNNNNNNNNNNNNNNNNNNNNNNNNNNNNNNNNNNNNNNNNNNNNNNNNNNNNNNNNNNNNNNNNNNNNNNNNNNNNNNNNNNNNNNNNNNNNNNNNNNNNNNNNNNNNNNNNNNNNNNNNNNNNNNNNNNNNNNNNNNNNNNNNNNNNNNNNNNNNNNNNNNNNNNNNNNNNNNNNNNNNNNNNNNNNNNNNNNNNNNNNNNNNNNNNNNNNNNNNNNNNNNNNNNNNNNNNNNNNNNNNNNNNNNNNNNNNNNNNNNNNNNNNNNNNNNNNNNNNNNNNNNNNNNNNNNNNNNNNNNNNNNNNNNNNNNNNNNNNNNNNNNNNNNNNNNNNNNNNNNNNNNNNNNNNNNNNNNNNNNNNNNNNNNNNNNNNNNNNNNNNNNNNNNNNNNNNNNNNNNNNNNNNNNNNNNNNNNNNNNNNNNNNNNNNNNNNNNNNNNNNNNNNNNNNNNNNNNNNNNNNNNNNNNNNNNNNNNNNNNNNNNNNNNNNNNNNNNNNNNNNNNNNNNNNNAUGGGUUUGUGGUUAAAAAUCUCAUUUAGAUAGAGUUUUUGAUGGGUAAUUAUGAAAUUUGACAUAAAGGGUACAUGAUUAAAAAGGUGGGAAAGGAAGAUGCGAAAAGAAGGUAAGAAGGAAUCAAUUCAUGGCAAAAAAGAAAAAUAAAUAAGAGGGAAGAAAGAAGACAUAUAUUGAUGGGAGGCGGAGGUGGGAUAGGGAGGUGAGAGAAAGAUGUAACAACAAAGAAGGGUUUAGCGAAAGGUGAUAUAAACAAAAUUAAUUUUGUAAGAAAAUAUUUUUUUUAAUGCCAUGUCAACUAGUUUGUAACUUUUAGUGUCCAUGUCAACAAACAAAAUUUUAUAAAGUUACCAAAAUUCAAAAUUUGUGUUACGAAAAGUAUUUCUAAUAGAUUGUGCCAUUUUCGGUAAAGGCUUAAUAGGUUGUGCAUUUAAGAAAAAAAAUAUUAUUGUGUUUCUACAAUUAACAUCAAUUAUCACCAAACCAUUAAAUACUAAAAACCAAUUAAGAUAUAGUCAUGUUACAAAAAAUGACUCUUGUUAUGAUUUUUUUGUUUAUGCAAUGAUAGGAUGAGAUUAAAAGGUUAAUUUCUUUUUCGACAAAACUUGUAAAAUAUUAUUAAACUCAAUUAGAUAUAAUAUCAUCUACAGUUGGUCAAUCAAAAAAAUUGAGGGUCUAUCCACCGAAACAAUCGUGGAGUUCCAAUGAGUCUGAUUAUACGCCAUAACAUGGGUAAGCUUGUUAACUUAUCUCCGGCCAUGACGCCAAUUACCACAAUCAAACUUUGCCAAAAGGCAACGAAUUAUGGACUAAAAUCCAUGUUCGGUAUGAUGAUCUUCCACAUGAUGCAAAGUCUCAACCAUGAUCAAGCUAUCACUUUCAAGAACCACAUUAGGAUACCUAUGUUGCAAGGCCAAUUGUUAGCAAAAUCUUGCCUCGACCGCCUCAGUUAAAGUAGGCUCAUAGCAACCCUACAAUUUCAACAUAUCCGCCAUUAAGUAAUGCCGAACGCCAUCCCAGAUAACCACCCCAAUACCCAUUCUGGAUCCUGUAAUGAUAGUUGCGUUUAAGGUAGUGAAACUGGUGAGUCAACAUGGGAUCGAAAAGGGACCUAGAAUCGUAAUCGUAAAAUCAAAUCGCAAAAUCAUAAAAUUUCACGGUUCUUCAAUAAUACUAAAUAUUCAGAAAUUCACCUUAGCAUAAAGACGUAAGUUCAUUAUCCAAUCUAAAAUUAAAAAUAAAAUCUCAAAUUCACCUUAAUAGGUUCUUCAGUUGCACUACUUUGAGCUGAUUUUCGAGUCUAGGAGACCGGAGACAAAAUCUGUGAACAAAAUUGUACAAUCUUACAACAAAAAACAAAAUACCUUCGAACAAAGAACCUAAACACCAAAAAUCCAAAACUAAUCUAACAAAAACAGAAUUAGAGAAAGGAAUGGGAUGAUGAGCAAAAUCAUGGAAUGGGAUGAUGAAGAAUCAUGGAAUCAAGGAAACAGAGAUACCUUCGAGCCGUAGGAGUGGCUGGAGCGAUGGGGACGACCAAAGAGGCUAUGACGAGGACCAUUGACUCCUGGUUCUGGUCUUCUAGACUUCUGGGGGACGACCGACGGGGGAGACGACAAGAGAGAAGACUGAGGAUCGAGCAGAGAUCGAACGAGCAAUCGACGACUUGCACAAUUUUUUUCAGAAGAUAAAUGAAUUUAAGGUUCGAUUUUUUGCCCAAAAUUGAACUCGGAUUUCCGUUUCGGUUCGAACCGAAGCAUAAAAACCAGCGGUCAGCACAGAGUAGUGGACUCGUGAAUCGUUGUAAACUCGUUCGAUUCCACGAUUUUCACGAUUUUGCGAGCGAUUUCAUGCCAUUAUAAGCCAUUUUGAUUGCGCGUGAAAUCUGACUCGACGGACCUAACAAAACUCGUAAAAUCGUCGAUUCCACUUCCUUCGUUGUGUAUGUACUGAUAUGGGGUUCCUGGUUUAGUGGUUGAACCGGGGUUGGACCGUUUUUAAACCGGGUCGGCCAUUUUAAAUAUUACAUAAAGUUAAAUCGGACCGAAAAAAUAUUGGAUUGAACGAAAUCAAACUGACAGUACAAAUAGUCAAAUUUUGAGAUUUAACCUUUGAAAAUUGAACAAUUUUAAAAAAUUUAUGUACAUUAUGAUGUUAUUCUUUUUUAAGUUUAUGUAAUAUAAUGAUAUUAUCUAUAGUUGAAGUCUUCCACACAUAUAUAUCUAGAAUGCUAAAGAAACCCUAAUGGAUCUUUCAAUCUUUCUUUAAUUGGGCUCCAACUACUCAAUACCCUCUCUCACACUUUUUUUCUCUAUAGAGAAACUCUCUCCCUUUUUCAUCAGAUUUUUUUCUCCUUGUAAUCUAAUCUUAUUUUUCUAAUAUUUUCAUUCUAUUUCUUCCCUAUUUGUCUCUUUUACUUUUUUCUUUUUGGAAGGUUAUUAGAAAAAGAGGACCACUAAAUAAUUCCGUCGACGUCCAGCAAUAGGGUUUUCCAAUUUUUUCACAGAUGGAUCCAUGUUUCCAAAGUUCUUUUGUUUUUUUUUCUGAUCUGAUAGUUGGUUCUUUAACUAGUUGAAUUAUCUGGUUUUCCGGGGAAAUCGGGUCAAUCCUCAGUUUUGUUCAUUCUCCUCAACCGCUAACUCAGUAUUGAUCAAAUGAUCGGUUCACAGUCGGACCGGCCGGGCUGAUAUGGUUUUGCUAACAUUGAUCUUAGUAGAGCCGACUAGAGGCCAUUCCAACCGAGCCACAAUGGCCUCAUACGAAAAACUCCUAGUUACCCUGAGUUCUUGAUAAUAAAUAAGAAUUGGAGUGCUUGUGCUAUGAUAUCACACUCCAAUUAGUGAAACUCAUUAAGCAUACACACAUUCCUUUCUUUCCAUCAGAAUCACAUAAGCAUUACCCAUCUUUCCAACUCCAAAUUCAAAACUUUGCGGUUGCUAAGUGAGAACCAAUCGCAUCAGUCAUUAGAAUCAUCAAAAUCAACCAGUGAUCAUGUUUAGAGUUACCUCAAAUCCGCCAAGUCCAUUGGCAAUCUCGGAAAUAGUGAAUUUGCAGGCAACCUGCAAAAUGGGCAUAUAUCACCAUGUCGAGGAUUAUGCUUAUACAUAUUAUACCUGUAGGUAAAAUUUACGAUGAAAUUUUCAUAAGAACUGCUCACCUUCGACGGAAUCUACAAUGACCAAGAACAAUUCCAAACAUCCGAGUUGCAAUUUGGAUUAAGACCCACUAAAAGAAAACCGUGUCCAUUAUUACGGAUAAAACCGGCCGUUGUCACUGAUAUUUCCAUGUCCCUGCCUCGUUGUCGCGGGAAAAUCAUCCGCGACAACGGGCGCCUUCAUAAUGAGGGGUGNNNNNNNNNNNNNNNNNNNNNNNNNNNNNNNNNNNNNNNNNNNNNNNNNNNNNNNNNNNNNNNNNNNNNNNNACGGCCGCCUUCAUAAUGAGGGUUGUGGGGACUAAACUAUCCGCGAAAAAUAGGGUUGGCGCGAACCCGUUAUGACCGGUUUGGUUCAAAUAGUUAGGUUGAAAGGCAUUUUAACAAGUUUAUCCGCAAAAACGGCAAGAGAUAUCCGCGACAAUGGCUAACAACAUUUGUUUUGCCGUCAUAACGGUUCCCCUAACGACGUUGAGUUUAUCCACGGCCAAGGUUGACAUUGUUAGUUUCUCCAUCCUACCCGUAAUGGUUGUUGUGCCAAAUACUAGGCCAUAAUAUCUGCGACAACAGCUCAAGUACUGCCUAAAAUUUUGUUAUUUUUGCUUGUUUCGUCCACUGUGGGCGCCUAAAAUAAAAGUUUAUAUAUGCACUAUUCUACACAUAACACAAUAUAUACCAAUAUCAUUAGCAUAACGAUAACACAUAUGAUCAUCCAAGAGUUAAUACUAUAACAUAAUCCAUAGAUCUACUCCAACAUAAUUCCUUGAUUUUUUACCUAACUAAAGUCAUUAGUUCACUAGACUACAUCACUAUCAACCUAGAUAUAACUACACUAGAGACUCGUCAUCCUCAUCCUCGUCAUUAUGACCAAGAUCCUUAUUAGCUCAAGUAUACAAAAGAAGAUAUAUAAAAUUGAAAUUAGGUUAAAACACAUAAAAUUAAGUAACAUGAACUUUAUAACAUAUAAAGAUUACUAAUAAUUUACCCGCCACAUCGUAGUCGUAGUUCUGUUGGAUGUGGUUAUAUUAUAUUAACCGCUACAAUCGUCGUUACGGAUCAUUAUCCGUGUCCGACGAUGACCUAACCGUGACACCCGUUAUCGCGGAUAUUAUCCCCCAUAACUAAUCUACGUCAGACAUCAAAUUUUGUUGUAGUGGCCAAGCUAUUCUUUAAAGCUAGUCAGCCAGUUUUAAUACCCCUAUUUUUUCGAAUAAACAGCUUUACUACUUGAAAUCCAAAUAAGCAUUCCGAUUCUUGAACAUCGCAAUGAAUAAUUUGCACGAUAGAAGUUGAUAUAGUUGACCAAAAACAGCUUUCAAUAAGAGCAGUAUUCUACUGAUAAGUCGUUCGAUUAACCAACUCACGAACUGUAGCAUCAACAUCAAACCUCAUCGGCGUAGAGGUCACAAAAUUACCGGGUACUAACGGAAGCCAUCCGUCUCCCCAAAUUCUAACGGACAUACAAUUUCCCACCCACCACCCAAGGCCACUCCAUACAAAACAUUGAGCACCAAAAAGGCUAUGCCAUAUAAAGCUAAACCCAACUCAGCUUUAAAGACAUAAUAGAAUUUUUAAAAUACUUAGCUUUCAUAAUUCUUACAAUAAGGGAAGAUGCUCUUGAGUGUAAGUUCCAAAGAUGUUUAGCAAGUAAAGUAAUGUUAAAGCCUAAAAAAUCACAUAAUCCCAUCCUAGCUUCGGAUUUCAAACUCAAUAGAUAUUCUUGACAAAAUGAGGGAUGAGCACUGGGUCGGGUCACCCAUCAAAACCCACCCGCCUAUAAUCACUCUCUACCACUACUACCCUUUUCCCCAUCACCAUAAAACUUUGCAUGCUUGUUUGUGUGUUUUUGUAGUUUUUUUGUGUGUUUUAUGUCGCUUUUCAUCGUUUGAGUAGAGAGAGAGAGGGAGAGAGAGAGGGAGAGAGAGAGAGGGAGAGAGAGUAUUUCAAGGGUUGCAUGUCAUACCAAUGAUUAAGAAUGCAUGAUAGAAGGUCUCGAUUCAAAUUAGGGUUCGGUCGGUGUCUGAUCGAAGGACGAAUGAUGCUUGCAUUAUUUUAUUUUUACUGAAAAAUUGGGCUUCUGGAGCAGCCUUUAGAUCAAUCUCAAGGUGUGUGGCUUUGCAUAGUGUGUGUCGUUUCCUUAAGUUUCUCUCGAUAGAAAAUCGAGUUUAUGGCGUGUGAUCCCACAUGCCAUGUGACUGAUUUUUGACAAAACGAACCGACCAAAGAACAACCAAAAACCCAACCGGCUCAAACCGUAAUGAACCAGAUUGAUUUUCAAACCGAUUUUCAACCAAAUCAAACUGAGUUUGACCAGACGCAUUGACCCUUCGUUGACCGGCCGUUGCCCCCGUUGACCGGUCACCAUGGAAGAAAAAACAUGGCAGUUUAGUAGUAUUUUGGGCAUAACAUUUUGCUCGGGAGUCUGAUUGACACAAGGUCAGUGACGUUGGAAACUUGUUCAGUUGCCUACAACUUUGAUGUCAUGAUGUGGCCUAAAUCCAUGCAGUUUGUGCUCAUUUUUCUUGGUUUGGAUUGAUGGAAUUUGAGAAAGUUUGAAUUGUGGUCUUGUUUGGUUUGAUGAUUUGGUGCGAUCGUGAUCAAUUUCUUGAUAGUAUUAUAGUGAUAUGUUCAUUGCAAAUGCUAACGUUUGGGAUGGUUGUCCAAAAUGGAUAAUUCUAGCUUUGCAAUGUGAAGAUUGCUGGAUGUUGAGACGUGAUCACUUUGUCACUCUUGUAUCGAUGGCAUGUUGUUGAUUUUCAUGAGAACUUGGAAUGGCAUCAUGAUGCUUCAAAGUGUGGUUGAACGUAGGUUGUUACUAGGCCUGAGAGUCGGUUAAUUUGGUUACUAACCAUCUGCUUAAUGUUCGGGGAAAAUGAUUUGGAGAUUAAAGUUGGUUAAUCGGUUUAACUGACCGACCAUAUGUAAUGGUUAAAAAGCCGACCAAUAACUGAUAAAUCGGUUAAAUAACCAAUUAUUAACCAACAGAUUAGUCGGUUAAUCCUAUGAACUGACUUUGAUUGAUUGACCGACUAUACCGACUUAACCUAACAAGAUCUGAAUCUCCAUGCUCAUCUCUGCCAUCGAGUGAGCCACGUUCUGCUCAUGAUAACCGUUCGUCCAAGCAUUCAUACUCUACUAAGAAAGCUUGCCAUGGCCGCCACUCUGAACACCGGUCAAAGAACUGAAUACUUGUUCCAAGAUCCGAACUUCCAGAACCGUCUCCAAUCCAUCUUCCCAAUUGUAGUUUGGACAAAGUUUCCUCAUCUGAAUUUUUACUCAAUCACACAACUACAACCUACACGACAACCAUAAUCAAUAGAGUGGAGGGGGAUAGGAUGAAACAGAGGACUGGUUGAAAUUAUAUGGGCCUAUGUUGCAUCCUCAAUAGCUCGUCGUCGCCAAGCCUCACUGAGCCGUCCCCGAGAGAGGAAGAGACGUAGAGUCUAGAGAUCGUGCUUUACUAGUGCUCAACACUCAUGGAGCCGUCACUGAGAGAGGAACAUAAUCCCUAAUGAAUCGUGAAAUCGAGAAUGAACGGGGAUAAGUGAAUAUGUUUGUGUGUGUGUGAGUUUGACCUAAAAAUGGGGGGAUUGGGAAUACGACGUAGACAUUUGGGUUCAGACUUGGGGUUCUUUUGACCGAUUAAUGUUGGUUAACACAAGUUAACUGACGGGUUUUAACCGAUUCACCGUUUAACUGAAGUCAGUUUUUCUCUUUGACCGUCCCCCAACCAACCUGUAGCUCGAUUAAACCUUCCUCUAACUUAUUCGGUCGGUUAAUCAAUUUUAAACGAUUAACCGAAACUGAAUUCCUACCCUUAGUUGUUACUAGGUGCUUUUGUUGCUCCCAAUUGAUGAUUUGUGAUUAUUUCCAUGCUCAUUUAAUUUGCUUCCAUUGCUCAUAUUUUGUCCUACCAUUACCCUUGAUGACUCAUUGGUUACUCACUGUUUUGGUAAAUGGUUCAAAGAAGCAUGAGGCAUAUUACUAGUCCAUUUGUUCCUGUAAUGAUAUAUCUUUGACCUCACCUUUUGGUAUAACUUGAAUGAUGCAUACGUUGUCACUUCAUGCUUUGCAUACACUCUUUAUGCUCGUUCUUGUUCAUUGGACUUGGUCAACAUUUGUGAGGAUUUCUUUGUGGCAAUUGAUGAUAAAUGAGUUAAGGUGGUCCCAUAGCUUUUGCUUACCCUUGUCUUACUAAUUUAUGAAUUAUAGGAUGCUCUUGUUUAGGAUUGCUAGUUAGUCUUGCUUGAGAAUAACUAGUUAUCUUCUUCAUUGGUUUUGCCUUUCUUUUACAUCUUGCCUAUGCCAUGUCUACUUAUGAGCUAUUUAUUGCCUAUCGUUGCCUAAUUCGAUUGGAUGCUUAUUGAGGUGGUUCCUUAGUGGCCGUAGGAUUAUGGGUUGACACCUCUACAUGCUUGAUGUGUAUGAUUAUUCUCCAUUUCGAAAUUUUCAAUGAUACUUUAAAGUCAAAUUUGAAUGCUCUUUACAAAUGUGUCAAUUUUGGCACAGUUUUCAAGGAUUCAUCAUUUAGUGUUUAUAAUUCAUUUUCGUUUUAAAUUUUCGUUUCCCACAUUUACUUUUCAUGUUUUGUUGCUUUUAUUGUUUUAAAUUUUAUUAUUUUUAUUUUAAUAGGCUUACUUUCCUUGUAUAUCCCCAAUUGUAACUUGGUAUCCGUAUUCUCAACUAAAUCAACAAAUGACACCAAAUAACUUAAAAUUGAGAACUAUAAGAGCUCAAAAGAAGGAGAUUUAGCAGAGUCUCUUAUAGGUUUCAAAAAAGCGAGGAAGGAUCUUCAAGUGGAGAGGACCCUUUCUCCUCCCUAACUCCAAUGGCGAACAAAACUCUAGCAUUAGACCACCUAAAGUCAGACGAUAAGCCAUGCAUUCAUCUCGUGGACUUUAUCUUCUAUUGCGACACCAUCAAGCUACACGGUGUUUCUGUUGAGGUUCACAUCGUGUUCCCCUUGAGUUUCAGCAACCAUCCACUCCAAGCACCUUAAAUCAUCCGUCUUAGUUUCUGCUUGUCCCCAAACACCGUACAUCGCAUGUACUUCGUGAUUUUUCCAUUCUUUGAGGCAUUUAGCUCCUCCUUGUACAUCAUACAGUUAUGAAUAAUGCCUCGACGUUGUUGUGUGCCUGAAAUUGAUAAAAAACACAACGCAACAACAUCAAAUGGACCCCAAACGGGUAUGAGACACUAAAUCGAGAUAGAAGUUACAAAUGCACAAAACAUCAUGUCGUGAAUGUUUCGAUCCGCGACACCGAUGGCUUGAAAUAUUUCAGAGUCGCCACCAAUCUGUUGAAGCGGAUUGGACGCUGUCGACAUAACCCAGGUCCUUUUGGACGUGAGUUAGAACAGGUCUGCGGAACAGAGAUCCUGGAUUCGAGAGGCGGUUACGUGCAGGGAAGGAUUAGCACCCCCAUAGCGCCCGUCAAACCGGUACUACUAAAUUUGAUAAGUUAUGUUUUAUUUUCUUAGUUUAGUGGUUUAAUUAUGCUUUAGUUUGGACGCAUAAGGUUAUGUAAAUUUUUUAGAGAAUAUUUUUAUUCAAUUGUAAGUCUUUAUGAGUUCCCACUCUUGUGGAAAUUUUUUUUUAUGUUGAUAAAUAUUUUGAGUUGAACAUUCUUAAUUUAAUUGUUUGGAUUUACGAAUUCCCAUUCUUGUGGAAAUUUUGUUUUACGCUGGUGAAUAUUUUUAAGUUGGUUAUUUUUAAUUUAUAUGUUUGGACUCAAGUCUUACGACUGCCUACGUACCUAAUUCUUUGGGAUCAAAGAUCAUGUAGUUCGUUAUGGAAAAGUUGAUUUGAGGAUUUUUUGUAAUUUUUACUAUUAUAAAAACCACGUUAUCAUGCUCAUUUUUUAUUUGAAAGACAUUUAUUUGGUUAUUUCAAAGUUGGAACUUUAUUUGCCCACUUAUGAUUAAAUGAUAAUUCUACAAAAUUCGAAACUCUUGUCACGGAUACGAAAUUCAUAUAACAUUGCUAUAAUAUCUUUAAAGGAUUAUUAUUAAGGAAAUUUCACAUUUUUUGCCAAUCGAAAAAUUAAUUGGUUUAUAUCAGUUAACUUAAUUUGACAUAAUUAAAAAUGCAUUACAAGACGGUUAACGAACUUACAUUUAAAUAAAUAUGUCACAAGUAUUUUUGGUGAUUUGACAAUUCUAUUGUGGUUAUGUUAAUGUUAAUUAAAAUGAUACGUUGAUUUGAAUAAUUGUAAAGUUUUGAGUUUUUAAGUUUACAACUUUAAGGUAUAAAUAUCAAAUAGGAUUAAAGAAGGUAUGACGUUUAUUCUGUUAUUCUUCCACACUUAUUUCACUUUUAUUCCACUCUUAAUAUGGCCUUAAUGAUAUAUGAAUAUAAUUGAAUCGACUAAAGGCUUGGCCUUUCUAAAUUAAUUGUGCCCAAGCUCGAGCUCGGCCCAACCGAACGAUGAGCCGAACCGGCGGGUAAGAGGAGGGCAGCCCGCGUGCCAAACUGGUCGAACCGGUUAUCCACGGUUCGAUCAGAAAACUCAAAAAGAUGAAAUUGCCCCUAGCGUUCCGUGCGCUGAAGAAGGGUGGCAGGGGAAAUUUUGUAACUUCACCUUAAACCUAAUCGGCCUUAUAAAAGGGCCUCUUAAAUCGAGAAAUGACUCAUUUGCAACUUCCCACUCUCUCUUUAUCAUCCCUCUUUCUAAACCGCCGCCCUUCUCCCCCCCCCCCCCCCCCCCCCCCCCACCCACCUUUAUCACGGAGUGUGCUGUUUUUUUCUAGUUCCUUUCUCUUCUUCUCAGCCGCCCUUUUUUGCCUCCUCUUACCUCUCAGGACCCCUCUUUCUACCUCCGUUUUUUCGAUUUUUCCAGAUUUGGACUUGCAUGUCAUCGGAGGAUACUCCGGUGAGUCCUCCGGCAAAAUGCAAGUCUCGAUCUGUAGAUCUAAUGUUUUAUUUUGGUAUUAAACAAUUUUGGUUAUUUGAGGGUGGUACCGACGGGGGUGGCGGGGAGGUAGAGAAAUGGAAAAAAGAGAAAGUUAGGUAAGUAAGAUUUCUUCCCUAUUCCUUUUGAUUAAUGUCUGGUUAAUUGCUAACGAAGCUAACUACCGGUUUCUUUGAUGACUUUUUUUAUGUCUUUGAAAAUGGGCAUAGUCGACAUGUUUUGGAAAAUGAGAGGAAAAGGAGAAGAUUGCUUUUAGGAGGUAAGACAGCUAAUUUUGAACCCAUUCUAAUUUUUCUAGGUAGAAGUAACAAUUCUAUUUGUUGAUAAGUUGCAUAAGAAACUAGGUUUGUUUUGUUACUGAAGUUGUAGUAGUAGUCUAGGUGUUUUAAAAAGUUUUGUUUGAAAAACUUUAUUUUUUUUACUAUUGUUUAAAUUUUUUUAGCAACAUUGUUUAUUCCAAAAAUCCGUAUUUUAACUCGAUUUUACUAUGAGUUUCAUAGUUCUUUAGGUCUUUGGUGCGAAAAUGAUGAAAGAUGGCUAUAGGUUUCGUUGUUAAUACUUUCCAAUAACUUUUAGUUCAUUUUUGAAGCUUAUUUGAUUGAUUUGUUGGUUGUUUAUUAAAAUGAAUCAUUUAUUUGAUUAGUUGCAACGAAUCAUUGGGUUCAAUAGUAGUUUAGAAGGUUGCUAAGUGAUAUAGCAUAACAAUGUAUAUGUAUGAAUGAUGUGUGAAUGCUUCAGAAUAGGGAUGUUUUGAAUGAUUACCUUCAUUCAAAAUUUCUCUUUUAUCGUAUUUCAGGUGGCGGCGCCUAUCGUGAGUGACGUCAAACCGAUUUGGCGGCUUCUAUGUGUAUGGCGACAAAAGAUGUUGUAAAACUUAUUUUUUUACAGUUUUGUAAUUAUUUCCCGGGACUUUGAACGAGUGAUGUUGGUGUAUUAUUUUUGGGGGUUUUGGGAAGAACUGGGGGACGAAUUUUGAAAACUGUAAGCUCCUCUUUUUGCUGAUUUUUGUCAGUCCAUUUAAAUGCAGAAAGGGCUACAGUCACUUCUUUUAACCAACCACAUCUUGCAAAGUUUUCUGACAAAAAUAAAAGGUGGCAGCUCCCCAAAUAAUAACCGUAACGGGCCCGAUAUUGGGCUUGAAAUAAGGCCUGGAAUCGGGCCCGAAAUCAAAUUGGGUCUAACACAUAAAUAGUUUCGAGAUAAGGGAUUUUGCCGAAUUUCGAGAUAGCGGACUUGAGGUCCACUCAUUUCGGCCGUUUCCGUUUAAAAAGAUCUAAAACAAAAUCGGCUUAGAACAGUCUGUAACAUAAUAAUUACAUCUCGAAAAUAUGCUAUUUGGCUACCAAGUUCUCCCCUAACGUGCACUUUGAUUAAUUUAACUGAAUAAACUUCGCAACAAGUAAAAUCUCGACGCUAAAUCCUUCCUAGAGAUGCUACGACUAUUUAGUGAAAUGACACUGGCGUGCAUUCUUCACUCGAACGAAAUUUGGUUACUACAGUUGUCCCUCUUUGUAUUACUUUCGCUUGGAAGUGGAAAGUGGUACAAAGACAGAAACCAAAUUUCGGACGAGCGCCUGAACUUCUCACGUCAAGUCCACUAGGGUCCAAGGAUCUGCCACAACAUCGGGUAGAAAACAAAAUUUGCAACCUGACCACACAAACAACAUGCAAUGCAUUUCCCUAUGGGUGUUAGGGUGAAUGUACUAGGGACUCAGCUUGACUUAUCUCCCGUUCCAUGGGUUGACUAUACUAGGGACUCAACUCGACUUAUCUCCUGUUCCAAGGUGCAAUCCGCUUUCCCCAGGAUGCUAAGGGUUGAUGUACUAGGGAUUCGACUAGACUUAUUUCCCGUUCCAACGUGCGAUCCGUUUGCCUUAGGACGCUAAGGGUUGAUGUACUAGGGAUUCAGCUUGCUUAGUUCCCGUUCCAUGACUACAAAUGUGUUGAUGAUGAAUGGUUUCGAAAGAGUUUGAGUAAGGCUCCCCCUUUUUGAAAAAAACAUGCAUCUGAUGGCAAUGCUUGAUUGAUAUUUUUCAUCAUUUUCACUCCGACGAGAUUCACUGUUUUGUUUUCUUGUCGCUUAGUUCGCACUACGUGCUAGCGCAAUGGUGUCAACCCUGCUGAUAGCUGGGUAACCUUUAAUGUAUGUGCCCAUUUUUCUUUGUUUUUCCCCCGACGUCUUCAUAUUAUUCCCAUGCCUUGGGAUUUUAAGGAUCUCUUUCCUACUUUGUCUCUACUUCUAGAUAUAAUGGUAAGAUAACGACGACCUUUGUAAAUUUCUUUCUUCGGUUAGGAAUAAGUGGAGAAAUCCUGCCAUCCGGGCUUCUUUUCUUUAACCCUUCCCUUUUACUAAUUUUUUCAUUCUUUCAACGGUUUUCAUUAUUAUUACUAUUAUUUUUCUCCCUUUUGUCUUCACUUUACCGCUAAUUUCAUUUGAAAAGACCUCCUAAUGAUUAAUUAGAGCGAAGGUGUUUGCACGAACGCAUUUGCCUCAAGUUCCUGUGGGGUGUUGUACCUCAUCCAUUUUGUUUGGUGAUGCGUGAACAAUGGUUAGGAGAGUAGUAUUUGAGAAUUCAUGAAGUAUCCAAAACUUAAAGUUGACUUAAAUUAUCACUUUAUUGAUGGAAAACCGAUCACGUAGAUCUCCGUCAGGAACUUUAAGCAUAGUACUUGUUUACUGAAUAAGAGUUAAAUAGGUAAGGGAGCUUGUCUCCGUCCAUGUUUGCCAGUAUUAAUGCCCCCCUGAGAAAGCCCUUUCCCCUACAUAGGGCCCUUCAUAGUUCGGCUUCCACAUUCCUCUUGGGUCCCCUUGUCAAAUGGAAAUCUUCUUCGUUACCAACUCUCCUUCGCGAAAUUCCCGUGUUUCACUUUUUUUUAAAAGAUCUGAUAAAUCUGCACUGAUACAGGCGUUAGUGGUGGAUAGCUGCCAACCUUUUCUCAUCAAUUUAAUUUAACUGGUCGUAUGCCGCUUUUACCUACUCAACUUGUUCUAACUUCGCCUCCAUGAUAACCCUUAGUGAAGGCAUUUCUACGUCCAUGGGAAGCACUGCCUCCAUCCCAUAGACCAAUUGGUAAGACGUCGAUCCCGUUUAGGUUCUUACUGAUGUUCAGUAACCGUGCUGGGUAAAUGGUAGAAUUACGUGCCAAUCGCGGUCGGUAACGACCAUUUUCUGUAUGCUUUUCUUGAGGUUUAUUGUUUGUCAGCUCGACCGCUCCGUUCAUCUUUGGUCGGUAUGGUACCGAGUUGUGGUGCUUAAUCUUAAACUUGUUGCAAAGCUCAUGCAUCAUCUUGUUGUUGAGAUUUUUCGCAUUGUCGAUUAUUAUUCUUUCCAGGAGCCCAUACUAGCAAAUGAUUUCCUUUUGUAUGAACUUUUUGACAACGCUCUUGGUAGUGUUUGCAUAUGACACAACCUCGACCCAUUUCGUGAAAUAGUCGAUGGCUACUAGGAUGAAACGGUGCCCAUUAGAUGCUUUUGGUUCAAUCAUGCCUAUGACCUCAUGAUGCAAAAGGCCAAGGCGAUGCCAUAAUGUGCAACGAUGAUGGAGACACGUAUUUCUCACCGGCAUAAACCUGGCACUUAUGGCAUUUUCUCACGUGUUUUACAUAGUCAGAGUUCAUCUUCGUCCAAUAGUAACCCAUCCUUAAUAUCUUCUUAGCUAGCGCAUGACCACCGACAUGUGUGCCGCAGACUCCCUCAUGGACUUCUUUUAUUGUUCUCUGAGAUUCAGGGGCAGCUACACAUCUUUGCAGCACAAAAUCAUGGCUUAGUCUGUAGAGGGUAGUCCUAUGAACAUAGUAACCCAUCUCCAAUCUCCGUAGAGUCCUUUUAUCAUUUUCAGAUGCCCUAGCUGCGUACUCCCUUUUAUGUAGGUAGGUCUUUAUGUGAUGGUGCCAGGGAUUCCUCAUGCUCUUUUUGGACUCUACCUAGGUAGGCAGGUGCAUUUUUCUUUUUGAUUUUGCUUCAUGGGUUAACCUCGGUCUCGUCCAGUUUGUACAUCGAGGACAAUGUGGCGAGAGCAUCCGCUAUUUGAUUGUCGACUCGCGAGAUGUGCUCAAACUGUAUCGACUCAAAUUUUGCGGCCAUUUCCCCUAUGUAUUUAUGGAAUGGGACAAGCUUAUGACCCCUAGUUUCCCAUUUUCCUUCAACUUGUAUAUUACUAGCGCUGAAUUACCAUAUGCCUUCAAAUUCUUAAUAACCAUUUCGAGGGCUCCUCGGAUCCUGAAAGUGCACGAUUGGCACUCUGUUAUGUUGUUGGUGCAAUCGAAGCAAAUUUUGGCAGUAAUAGGGCACACCCUCCCUUCAGAAGAGACAGAAACGACGCCGACGCCCUGUCCCAAUGAGUUUGAGGCCCCGUCAAACUUCAUCACCAAUGUUUUUUGGACGAAGCCUUCCACUAAUUUCUCAGUGUUCAGUAUAGUUUCAUCCGGAAAUUCCAUUAACAUCGGAUUCGUGUCCGAGAUUGCAUGCUCCGCUAGAUGUUCUGCCACUACACUCCCUUCAAUGGCCUUCCUUCGGAUAUAAACGAUGACGUAUUCUGCCAGCAGCACUUGCCAUUAGCCUAUCCAUCUGGAGAGGGCCAACUUUUCGUGGACAUCCUUGAUAGGGUUCAUUUUUUAUAUUAGGAGCUUCGUGUGAUAUAACAUGUACUAUCUCAGCCUUAUGGCUACCCAUACAAGUGCUCCGCAAGUUUUCUCGAGCGAUGUAUAUCGAGAUUCGUAGUCAUGAACUUCUUGCUGGUGUAAUAUAUUGGCGCGCUCUUUCCUUCCCGAUUCAACAUGUUGGGCCAACAUCGCGCUUACCAAAUUUUCAAAUACCGUGAAGUACAAUAUUAGUGACCUUCUAGAAGUUGGUGGGGCCAGAACCGGAGGGUUUAAUAAACACCCUUUGACUUUCCGAAAGGCAUGAUGACAACCUUCAUCCCACUCGACAUUCCGGUUCUUCUUUAAAAGCUUGAGAAUGGGUUCACACGUUAAGCUCAAAUGCGAUAUGAACCGACUAAUGUAGUUCAAGCGUCCUAAGAAUCCUAGCACCUCUUUAUGCAUUUAGGGAGGAGGUAUGUCAACCAUUGCCUUCACUUUGUCAGGGUCCACUUCAAUCCCCUUUUGGCUAACCACGAAACCGAGCAGCUUCUCCGAGGUGACUCCGAACGUACACUUUUCUGGGUUCAGCCAGAGCUGGUACUUCCCGAGUCGCUCGAGCAAUUUUCAUAGCACAGUUACGUAGUCGUCUUCCUUUUAUAACUUUGCUAUAAUGCCAUCCAGAUAUACCUAUAUUUCUUUGUGUAUCAUGUCAUGAAACAGUGUGACCAUGGCCCGCUGGUAAGUUGCCCUAGCGUUCUUCAGCCCAAAAGACAUAACUUUAUAGCAAAAGGUUCCCCAUAAAGUGAUGAUGGUCUUUUUUUCUCGAUCAUCCGAAACAUCCUGAUAUGGUUGUAUCUUGAGAAACUGUCCAUGAAAGAGAACAUAUUAGUUGACGGUAUUAUCAACGAGGACAUUUAUGCGAGGCAAAUGGAAGUUGUCCUUUGGGCUUGCCCUAUUUAAAUCUCUGUAGUCUACGCACAUUCUCAUUUUUCCAUUCUUCUUAGGCAUAGGGACCAUAUUAGAGAUCCAAUCGGUGUAUUACGCCACCUGUAAGAACCCGAUUUCGUAUUGUUUCUGCACUUCUUCCUUAAGUUUGAGUAUCCAUUCCGGUUUCAUCCGCCAUAACUUUUGCUUUACUGGCUUGCACUCCUCCUUUAUUGGCAAGUGAUGUGUUACUAUUGUUCAUCGAGGCCCAACAUAUCUUGAUAAGACCUUGCGAAAACGUCCUAGAAGUUCUGGAGUAGUUUGACGAGCCUGUUCUUUUCUGCUUGGUCUAAACUGUCCCCUACCUUAACCUGUCGCCGAUUGUCCUCUGUUCCCAAAUUCACGACCUCUACUGACUCGUAGAAAGGUUUCAAGGAUCGCUCUUCUUAUCCUGCCAUCCAAUCUGUUUCUAGGUUAGAACCAUCACUGGCUUCCUCGGUUUCCAUCUCAUAAACUGGGUGGUGAAAGUCAACUUUAGUGUUUCGUACCUCUUCAUUGUUUUCAAACACAUCUGUAACCCUGUUACGUGACGGGAAAUAGAAAAGGGAAAAAGAAGAAAAGCGGAAGUGAAUAAUAUAGACGAUGCACGGAUUGAGACUUAUGAAAACAUGCUUUAUCAAACAUGUGAAAAUGUGAUACAUGCAUUCAGGAUCACUUAAAAAACACUAGGAAGCCCUUGCUUAUUUUAUUUAGUAGUCAUAUUUUAGAGUUAUUACAUCUGCAAUGGCGAAAGUAACUCCAAAGCCUCCCAAUUGCUUAGCUCUUCCUUUGGACGGAGCUGCCGCACCCAUUUUAUUCCGGUCAUAAUUCCCGUACCCAGCAUGCUGAUGAAGAGAUCUGCAAAAUCCGACUGUAACUCUUUGGUGGUCGGAUCAGUGUAGUUUUUCCUCACAUUUAUCUUUCCAGCAUUCUUGCUUGUGAUGUGAGGUAUGAAAGUCAGGCCUUCAUCAUCUUCUGUCCCACUUAACCUGGACACCCUCCUCCUUAUCCGUUCCUUUUGGAUCCUCCUUAUAUCAUCAUCGUUUAGAAUGUAUCGCAAUCCCGCACGGUUCUUAUUUUCUUUGACCUGGAUGGGUUCUUUCAGCACCUCCUGCCAUUAGUAUCAUAGAUUCCAUACUCGAUAUUAAUCUAACCGAUGUCUCGAGACUAAUUAGAGUUAAUUACCAAGUGCAUUAAUAUAGUACAAUGAUUAAUCUGAAAAUUAAUUCCAAAGCGGAUCGACAUUCCGCCCCUCUCUCAAGUGUAGCGGAGACGACGAUAGACCUUGGCGUUUGGGGAUUUAGUCUCACUUUCGUAUCUAAACCAAAUCCCAACAAUAAUCUUACAACUGGAAUUCGACAAUUACAAAAUAAAGCAGUAGCUAUAUGCAAGAGAAAGACAAUAACGAAAUUAAUGAUAGUUCCGCUUAACACAAUCGAAAUUAUGUCGUAUUAACACAUAAUCAAGGUUUCAUCAAUUUCGGACAGACAGCUUAGUUACACAUGGUGAUCAAAUUAAAAACACAGAAAUCAAGAUAAUACAUGAACCUGGAGCUCCAUGCUUCAUGAACGCUCUGCCGUCGUAAAAUUCAGCAAUGUAGGCGGUCCGAACGGAAGUUCCGAAAUGGAUUUCUUCACCUUCGGAGCUCGAAAUUGCAUGCGGUUUGAAGUGGCAUGUUCCUGGGUUGAAGAAGGACGUCUUGGGGCAGAGUAGGAAGGCUUGCGGGUCUGAUAUGGUGUGUGUAUGGUGUGAUUUCGAAGUGGACAUGACUUGCCCUUAUAUAGGCUCGAAAAAUGGCGUAUUAAGGCCUCCGACAUGGGCAUACCAACUCCAUCAUCUGUAUGCAAGCUGUAGCUGUCCCUGGACUGAUGAUGGACGGAUCUACAUGUGCUGGACGUCCUCAACCAUGCCCGGUUAUCCUUCCGGCGAUCGGUUGAGCGGUGGAUUGUAAAACGGGUCGUAACUUCUUCGUUGCAAAUCUGAUUUAGCUCCGGUUUGUAUCGUUGGAUUUUUAAUUCAUCCCUUUAUAAUACGUGACCUGAAAUUUUAUUAAACACACUAGAAGAAAUAUAAAAUUGGACCAUAAAGGUCCAAGGGUUGAAUUUACGGAAUUAAGUGCAAUAUAACUGAUAUCCGUCGAAACUUUUGUUUGCAAUUGAUAUUAUGACUUGAAGUGUAGAAAGUUUAGUGCCAAAUAUUACGGUAUGUUAUGAUGUGAUCAAAAUACCCCACACUUAAACUUUUCUUGUCGUCAAGAAAACUGUAACUUAACCCACACGAAAUACCAAAGAUAGUUACCAUCAUUUAUACAAGGUUUAGGAAAUGUAAUUUUACAAUUUACGAUGCAACAGAGGUUAAAUGCUUGGCCACAUCGGUGAGAUAAAUCUCUAGUUAGAAAUUCACGAGACAGUGCACACCAGAUUAAUCAAGAUUCAAAUGCUAAAAAUAAAAGGGUUAAAUGCAUUUGUUGCAACUAUAAGAUUCAUUUUGCGCUUCCUUACGAAAUUAUGAAAUUUUAUUUCUUUUUUAAAGUUUCAAAAUUUUGAAUAACCCGUAGCCGAGCAAGACUAGUGAGUACUAUACUCAACCUUUUAACACAUUUCAUUCUUCCCACACACACCUCAAUUAAGUCCCGUAUGGGAGGCAUCUAAACUGGCUGCCUAAUUGGCAGGGCAGCUAAUGCAGAGGUGCUAGUCCUCUACCACACGCGUUAAGUUAAUCAUUGAAUUAUUGAGACAAAUUAAAGAAGCAUUUUGAUUUAAACAUUUUUUUAUG
rnacentral:lncRNA from 1 species